rnacentral:rRNA from 1 species
CCUACGGGCGGCAGCAGUGAGGAAUAUUGGUCAAUGGACGAGAGUCUGAACCAGCCAAGUAGCGUGAAGGAUGACUGCCCUAUGGGUUGUAAACUUCUUUUAUAUGGGAAUAAAACGUUCCACGAGUGGGAUUUUGUAUGUACCAUAUGAAUAAGGAUCGGCUAACUCCGUGCCAGCAGCCGCGGUAAUACGGAGGAUCCGAGCGUUAUCCGGAUUUAUUGGGUUUAAAGGGAGCGUAGGUGGAUUGUUAAGUCAGUUGUGAAAGUUUGCGGCUCAACCGUAAAAUUGCAGUUGAAACUGGCAGUCUUGAGUACAGUAGAGGUGGGCGGAAUUCGUGGUGUAGCGGUGAAAUGCUUAGAUAUCACGAAGAACUCCGAUUGCGAAGGCAGUUCACUGGACUGCAACUGACACUGAGGCUCGAAAGUGUGGGUAUCAAACAGGAUUAGAUACCCUAGUAGUC